AACUGCUAGUAAAGCACGUAAUGACGAACACGUGAGGUAGGGGCAAACAACUCCAGGCCUGGCUUCUGCUCCCGACGUGUUCCGGCGCGUCCGGGUUCAAAUCCGCCUGCCGACCUCUCGGGGUGUUUGAGAGGUGAUGAAAUGGGAGGUGGCUCCCCAUCUUAUGGACGGUGUAGGACGUGAUAAAAUCAACUCGCGAGCUGACCAGGAACUAAGUUGACGCGCCGUUGAUCCGCUAGAUCUGGUUGGAUGCUGGUGGUGAGUUGCCAAACUCAAAGAGUACACGCUGAAGUCGGAUGGGGUGAAUGGCUUAGGGUGCCCCUCUAGCAGGGGAGAGCAGGGAAUUGCCUCGGGAAGGAGGCCACUGGUGAAGCUUAACCACCCUGUAACAACAUCAACAACCCCACGCUCGUCCGUCUUAACGAACAUCGCCGAAUCAGACUUCGAAGGAUAAAGACCCAGCUUGGCGAACUCUGCUGAUAGCUUUACAUACCAUGGCAGGCGGCUGGCAGAAGUUAAGGCCUGACUUCUGCUCCCAGUCGAUCCAGUCGACCCGGGUUCAAAUCCGCCUGCCAGCUCCUCGGGUAUUUGAGGAGUGAUGAAAUGGGAGGUGGCCCCCCAUCAUAUGGACGGUGUAGGACGUGAUAAUAUCAACUUGCGAGCUGACCAGGAACUAAGUUGAUGCGCCGUUGAUCCGCUAGAUUUGGUUGGAUGCUGGUGGUGAGUUGCCGAACCCAACGAAUACAUUCUGAAGUCGGAUGGGGUGACGGAUUAGGGUGCCCCUCUAGCAGGGGAGAGCAGGGACUGCCCCGGGAAAGGGGGCCGCUGGCGAAGUUAACCACCCUGUAAUAACAUACAUACCAGCAACGGGGUGCCUGCUUCAAACCGUAAAUAGACCUCUCCAGCUUGCACGCAAGCGACCGGUCACUGGAUGCAUACCCAGGCGGUUGCUCCAUCCACAACUCCUCCUUCAACUCGCCAUUCAAAAAUGCAGUAGACACAUCGAGCUGGUGCACCGUCAUGUUCCGCGCUGCGGCAACUGCUAGUAAAGCACGUAAUGACGAACACGUGAGGUAGGGGCAAACAACUCCAGGCCUGGCUUCUGCUCCCGACGUGUUCCGGCGCGUCCGGGUUCAAAUCCGCCUGCCGACCUCUCGGGGUGUUUGAGAGGUGAUGAAAUGGGAGGUGGCUCCCCAUCUUAUGGACGGUGUAGGACGUGAUAAAAUCAACUCGCGAGCUGACCAGGAACUAAGUUGACGCGCCGUUGAUCCGCUAGAUCUGGUUGGAUGCUGGUGGUGAGUUGCCAAACUCAAAGAGUACACGCUGAAGUCGGAUGGGGUGAAUGGCUUAGGGUGCCCCUCUAGCAGGGGAGAGCAGGGAAUUGCCUCGGGAAGGAGNNNNNNNNNNNNNNNNNNNNNNNNNNNNNNNNNNNNNNNNNNNNNNNNNNUUCAGACUUAUCUUGCUGUUUUUGUGUUUGUUCGGCGUUCAAGUCGUUGCCUUUUGCGUGUUUGUCUAUGGAAGGACCGGUCAUACAUUCUGCUAUGCCGCGUUGACUCACGGGCUUGACCUUCUUACGGCCCCUCAUAUCUAUUUUAUGAUCGAUAAUACUAAGUUCUGCACACUACGGAGCAAUCUGGCAGCAAUGGACGUUUUUGGCUGAAGGAAUGAAAAUGUACGGAUCGGCCUCACUUUGUUCCUUAUUUCCAAAGGCCAAAAAGGCCUCUUUAUUCCUUAAAAGUAAUAUAUUACUUAAAAAAAAAACACUGCCGUUGGGUCCUAUUACUGUGGCUACCAUUCACUGGUAUAUGAGUGUCGGUCAUUUCCAACACCCCCCCGUGAGCGACACUCCAUCGCUACGGGCCGUCCCGUGCCUCAUCCCGGUCUCCCAUUCUCUAGGCAACAGCCAGUGGGUAUCGAUCCGGCGACCUCUCGGCAGCGCAAUGCGCCAUUCGGGGCUCAUUUCUUAUUGACGAAUUGGCGACGGAGACAGCUAACGCUGAUUGUUAUUCCGGAAGGAUUGCCGGUGGCGAAGAUAUUUUGCACAAUAAAAUAUUACAAGUAAUGUAAAGAGUAUUAUUAGCGUUCGGCAGGACUUGAGGAGAUUCCUAUGAGGAAUACCGAUCGUAGUGAGAUAAACAAAUAAGCGCAGUCACCGCCCUAAAUACCGGCGCUAGCGGAAAACUCGUACAUUCCGCGAUCUAACUGCACGUACAUUCCGCGAUCUCACUGCGCCGUCCUGACGGUGCCCAAAUGUCUAUCACUUAGCUACAGUAUAUGCAUCGGUAGCCCAUAAGGUUCUGGGUUAAGUCUUCCCCAUUAGUCAGGCGCAGUCUCAGGGUCAAGACCCCUGGUUGACAACCAUACGAGUUGGGAGAGGACCGUUUCCUCAACAAAGGUCACGCACCUUGAAGACUUUCGCUAUUGCGGCUUUAAUUGCCCGGACCAUUUCCGGGUCUUCUGACGCAAUAAUGGUGUCAUCUACGUGCACCAAAGCAAUAACAGGCAGGCGGCUGGCAGAGGUUAAGGCCUGACUUCUGCUCCCGGUCGACCUGGGUUCAAAUCCGCCUGCCGACCUCUCGGGUGUUUGAGAGGUGGUGAAAUGGGAGGUGGCCCCCCAUCUUGUGGACGGUGUAGGACGUGAUAAAAUCAACUUGCGAGCUGUCCAGGAACUAGGUUGAGGCGCCGUUGAUCCGCUAGAUUUGGUUGGAUGCUGGUGGUGAGUUGCCAAACUCAAAGAGUACACGCUGAAGUCGGAUGGGGUGAAUGGCUUAGGGUGCCCCUCUAGCAGGGGAGAGCAGGGAAUUGCCUCGGGAAGGAGGCCACUGGUGAAGCUUAACCACCCUGUAACAACAUCAACAACCCCACGCUCGUCCGUCUUAACGAACAUCGCCGAAUCAGACUUCGAAGGAUAAAGACCCAGCUUGGCGAACUCUGCUGAUAGCUUUACAUACCAUGGCAGGCGGCUGGCAGAAGUUAAGGCCUGACUUCUGCUCCCAGUCGAUCCAGUCGACCCGGGUUCAAAUCCGCCUGCCAGCUCCUCGGGUAUUUGAGGAGUGAUGAAAUGGGAGGUGGCCCCCCAUCAUAUGGACGGUGUAGGACGUGAUAAUAUCAACUUGCGAGCUGACCAGGAACUAAGUUGAUGCGCCGUUGAUCCGCUAGAUUUGGUUGGAUGCUGGUGGUGAGUUGCCGAACCCAACGAAUACAUUCUGAAGUCGGAUGGGGUGACGGAUUAGGGUGCCCCUCUAGCAGGGGAGAGCAGGGACUGCCCCGGGAAAGGGGGCCGCUGGCGAAGUUAACCACCCUGUAAUAACAUACAUACCAGCAACGGGGUGCCUGCUUCAAACCGUAAAUAGACCUCUCCAGCUUGCACGCAAGCGACCGGUCACUGGAUGCAUACCCAGGCGGUUGCUCCAUCCACAACUCCUCCUUCAACUCGCCAUUCAAAAAUGCAGUAGACACAUCGAGCUGGUGCACCGUCAUGUUCCGCGCUGCGGCAACUGCUAGUAAAGCACGUAAUGACGAACACGUGAGGUAGGGGCAAACAACUCCAGGCCUGGCUUCUGCUCCCGACGUGUUCCGGCGCGUCCGGGUUCAAAUCCGCCUGCCGACCUCUCGGGGUGUUUGAGAGGUGAUGAAAUGGGAGGUGGCUCCCCAUCUUAUGGACGGUGUAGGACGUGAUAAAAUCAACUCGCGAGCUGACCAGGAACUAAGUUGACGCGCCGUUGAUCCGCUAGAUCUGGUUGGAUGCUGGUGGUGAGUUGCCAAACUCAAAGAGUACACGCUGAAGUCGGAUGGGGUGAAUGGCUUAGGGUGCCCCUCUAGCAGGGGAGAGCAGGGAAUUGCCUCGGGAAGGAGGCCACUGGUGAAGCUUAACCACCCUGUAACAACAUCAACUC
rnacentral:lncRNA from 1 species